rnacentral:rRNA from 1 species
AUUGAACGCUGGCGGCAGGCCUAACACAUGCAAGUCGAACGAGUGGCGGACGGGUGAGUAAUGUCUGGGAAACUGCCUGAUGGAGGGGGAUAACUACUGGAAACGGUAGAUAAUACCGCAUACCAACGGAUGUGCCCAGAUGGGAUGAGCUAGUAGGUGGGGUAACGGCUCACCUCGGCGACGCUCCCUACCUGGUCUGAGAGGAUGAACAGCCACCCUGGAACUGAGACAAGGUCCAGACUCCUACGGGAGGUAGCAGUGGGGAAUAUUGCACAAUGGGCGCAAGCCUGAUGCAGCCAUGCCGCGUGUAUGAAGAAGGCCUUCGGGUUGUAAAGUACUUUCAGCGGGGAGGCGUUACCCGCAGAAGAAGCCCCGGCUAACUCCGUGCCAGCAGCCGCGGUAAUAC